UUCAAAAAGACACGUACUGGGAAGAGGGAGGGAACAAGAGGGAGAAUGAGGGAGAAAGUGACUCUGAUCAUGAUACAUUGUAUACAUAAAUGGAUAUGUUAAUAUAAAACAUGAAGAGAAAGGAAUCGGUGGAAAUGGGACGGAGGGAGAAAGAAAGAAAAAUACUGUAUUUUGGUUUAGAUGUCAAAUAUAUUUGUUUAGAUUUCAAAUACAGAAGAGAAGGACAUGGCAACAAAUAGAGGACUAUUGGAGGAGAGUAGUGGCAGGAGAGAGAAAAUAAUCAAAGUAUAUCACAUGUACAUAUGAAGGAUCAUAAUGAAAUCUAUAUAAAAUUUUUUUAAGAAAGUUGAUGAUUAAGUAGCACAGUUUCUACUGAUUUAUACAUCUAGCACAAAUUGCAUAACAUUAUAAAUAAACACCACCAGAAACCAAAUGGUCUCAAGGAAGCUUGCAGAUGUUUUAUGUUACAUGUGGAACAUCUCUUGGAAAGAAUCACUCUUUAGAAAGUAGACAGCAAGAAUGAAAAUGAAGAAAGGAAAAUGAAGAUAAGUGAGUUGUAAGGAUAAUACACUUAAGAUUCUACUCUGCAAUAAACAGGAAAUAUCUCCCAGUUUUCUAAUAAUACAUAUAUAUUUAUAUGUGUGUACCUUAGAAAGACUAUAUAAAUGAGAAUUCGGAGUUUUACUGUUUUCAAGUUAUAAGGACCUAAUAUACUAAUAACAAAUAAAACCAUGCAUGAGGACUCUAUAACCAAGACAAAAUUAAAGAUAUGUAAAGCAUAUCUGUAGGUGAAAAAGUAGUAAUUUCUCUGGGGGCUGGGAAUAUGGCCUAGUGGCAAGA